GAGCGGUAGAGAGAAGCUUGCUUCUCUUGAGAGCGGCGGACGGGUGAGUAAUGCCUAGGAAUCUGCCUGGUAGUGGGGGAUAACGUUCGGAAACGAACGCUAAUACCGCAUACGUCCUACGGGAGAAAGCAGGGGACCUUCGGGCCUUGCGCUAUCAGAUGAGCCUAGGUCGGAUUAGCUAGUUGGUGAGGUAAUGGCUCACCAAGGCGACGAUCCGUAACUGGUCUGAGAGGAUGAUCAGUCACACUGGAACUGAGACACGGUCCAGACUCCUACGGGAGGCAGCAGUGGGGAAUAUUGGACAAUGGGCGAAAGCCUGAUCCAGCCAUGCCGCGUGUGUGAAGAAGGUCUUCGGAUUGUAAAGCACUUUAAGUUGGGAGGAAGGGCAAUUACCUAAUACGUGAUUGUUUUGACGUUACCGACAGAAUAAGCACCGGCUAACUCUGUG
rnacentral:rRNA from 1 species